CUUGGUCAUUUAGAGGAAGUAAAAGUCGUAACAAGGUUUCCGUAGGUGAACCUGCGGAAGGAUCAUUCAUAAUAAGUGUUUUAUGGCACUUUUUAAAUCCAUAUCCACCUUGUGUGCAAUGUCAGUCGAUCUUUUUCAUGGAGAUCGACCAAACAUCAACCUUUAUCUUUUAACUCUUGGUGUGAAAAAUAUUAUGAAUAAACAAUUCAAAAUACAACUUUCAACAACGGAUCUCUUGGCUCUCGCAUCGAUGAAGAAGGCAGCGAAAUGCGAUACGUAAUGUGAAUUGCAGAACUCACUGAAUCAUAGAAUCUUUGAACGCAUAGUGCGCUCUUUGGUAUUCCGAAGAGCAUGGUUGUUUGAGUAUCAGUAAACACCUCAAAGCUUUUGGAUUUUUUAAUUGAAAAGCUUUGGACUUGAGCAAUCCCAACACCAAUCUUUUUGAGAUCCGAGGCGGGUUGCUUGAAAAGCAGGUGCAGCUGGACAUUUUCAUGAGCUAAAAGCAUAUACAAUUAGUCCCGUCAAACGGAUUAUUACUUGUGGUGCAGCUAACAUAAAGGGAGUUUGACAGUAUUGGCUGAAUGAUGCAGGAUUUCACAAGGGUCGGCAACGAUUCUUGUUUAACUCGAUCUCAAAUCAAGUAAGACUACCCGUUGAACUUAAGCUUCUCAAUAAGCGGCGGA
rnacentral:rRNA from 1 species